UACGGAGGGUGCAAGCGUUAAUCGGAAUUACUGGGCGUAAAGCGUGCGUAGGUGGUUCGUUAAGUCCGUUGUGAAAGCCCCGAGCUCAACUUGGGAAUUGCAGUGGAUACUGGCGAGCUGGAGUGCGGUAGAGGAAGGUGGAAUUCCCGGUGUAGCGGUGAAAUGCGUAGAUAUGCGGAGGAACACCGAUGGCGAAGGCAAUCCCCUGGGCCUGCACUGACGCUCAUGCACGAAAGCGUGGGGAGCAAACAGG
rnacentral:rRNA from 1 species